rnacentral:rRNA from 1 species
GUAACGAGCGCAACCUUGCCUUAGUUACCAGCACGUUAUGGUGGGCACUCUAAGGAGACUGCCGGUGACAAACCGGAGGAAGGUGGGGAUGACGUCAAGUCAUCAUGGCCCUUACGGCCUGGGCUACACACGUGCUACAAUGGUCGGUACAAAGGGUUGCCAAGCCGCGAGGUGGAGCUAAUCCCAUAAAACCGAUCGUAGUCCGGAUCGCAGUCUGCAACUCGACUGCGUGAAGUCGGAAUCGCUAGUAAUCGCAGAUCAGCCAAGCUGCGGUGAAUACGUUCCCGGGCCUU